rnacentral:rRNA from 1 species
GACGAACGCUGGCGGCGCGCUUAACACAUGCAAGUCGAGCGAGAACCGGGCCUUCGGGCCCGGGGGAAGCGGCGAACGGGUGAGUAACACGUGGGUAACCCACCCUUGGCACUGGGAUAGCCCGGGGAACCCGGGAUUAAUACCGGAUGGCCCAACAGCUCUUCGGGGCGGGUUGGAAAGGUAGCUUCGGCCUCCGGCCAAGGACGGGCCCGCGGCGGAUUAGCUUGUUGGUGGGGUAACGGCCCACCAAGGCGACGAUCCGUAGCUGGUCUGAGAGGACGAUCAGCCACACUGGGACUGAGACACGGCCCAGACUCCUACGGGAGGCAGCAGUGGGGAUCUUGCGCAAUGGCCGAAAGGCUGACGCAGCGACGCCGCGUGGGGGAUGACGCUUUUCGGAGUGUAAACCCCUGUUGCCCCGGGACGAACCUCGUCUUUCGUAGACGACUGACGGUACCGGGU